rnacentral:rRNA from 1 species
UACGUAGGGGCUAGCGUUAUCCGGAAUUACUGGGCGUAAAGGGUGCGUAGGUGGUUGAUUAAGUCUGAUGUGAAAGCCCACGGCUUAACCGUGGAGGGUCAUUGGAAACUGGUCGACUUGAGUGCAGAAGAGGGAAGUGGAAUUCCAUGUGUAGCGGUGAAAUGCGUAGAGAUAUGGAGGAACACCAGUGGCGAAGGCGGCUUCCUGGUCUAUUAUUGACGCUGAGGCUCGAAAGCAUGGGUAGCAAACAGGAUUAGAUACCCUGGUA